ACAGUGGGGUGUCUGGUCGGUGAGCGAGAGAGAGACGCGGGAGCUGGGAGCAAGAAUUUCGCGAGCAUUUUCGUGUGAAAAUUCUCUAAGUGGGGAGAGUGAAAGAGCUGAUGCAGUGCAGGUCGGGGUGACAAACAAAACUGAAGCGUGUCCUCCGCUAAUUAGCGAAAUAGCACCGUGUCGUUUGUCGGAGCAACUCGGCCAAGGGACGGAGAGACUGCUGGAACCGACGGACGCUGAACCAGUGCUGUGGACGGGACGGGACGGGACGUGCCGACAUCCUCCUGUUUGGAACCUAGGGUCUCGCUUGUAAAUGUUUUUGGGUUUUUUCAGCCAUUGGAAAGCUCCAUGGCGAUGCUCAAGCUGCCGGCUGACCUGAGAACCUUCUGUCUUGGCUGGACACAGAAAAAAAAAACAUGAAACCCAUGCCCAAGGAAAACUAUACGCCCACAUCUCUCCAACCAGCCACCCUAUUGGCCGGCUGGAUGCUGUCUCAUCCAAUGGAAAAAUUACUAAAUAAAUAAGUCUCCUUUUCGUAUU